rnacentral:rRNA from 1 species
GUGAGGAAUAUUGGUCAAUGGGCGAGAGCCUGAACCAGCCAAGUCGCGUGAAGGAAGAAGGAUCUAUGGUUCGUAAACUUCUUUUGCAGGGGAAUAAAGUGCAGGACGUGUCCUGUUUUGUAUGUACCCUGAGAAUAAGGAUCGGCUAACUCCGUGCCAGCAGCCGCGGUAAUACGGAGGAUCCGGGCGUUAUCCGGAUUUAUUGGGUUUAAAGGGUGCGUAGGUGGUUUGAUAAGUCAGCGGUGAAAGUUUGCAGCUUAACUGUAAAAAUGCCGUUGAAACUGUCGGACUUGAGUGUAAAUGAGGUAGGCGGAAUGCGUGGUGUAGCGGUGAAAUGCAUAGAUAUCACGCAGAACUCCGAUUGCGAAGGCAGCUUACUAAGCUACAACUGACACUGAGGCACGAAAGCGUGGGGAUCAAACAGGAUUAGAUACCCCUGUAGUCC